UUAAGUUCAGCGGGUAUUCCUACCUGAUCCGAGGUCAACCUUAGAAAGUAAAAAGGUGGCGACCGGCCCGGGGGGUCCUUGAAACUCGACGCGUGCUCGUGAAAGCUCGUUGCACCGAGGGUCCCUCUGGACGCCGUCAUUGUCUUUGGGACCGGUUGCUCGCACAACGUGGGUCCAACACCAAAACCGGGGUUUUGAGA
rnacentral:misc_RNA from 1 species